rnacentral:rRNA from 1 species
UACGGGGGGGGUAAGCGUUGUUCGGAAUUACUGGGCGUAAAGGGCUCGUAGGCGGCCAACUAAGUCAGACGUGAAAUCCCUCAGCUUAACUGGGGAACUGCGUCUGAUACUGGAUGGCUUGGAUUCGGGAGAGGAAUGCGGAAUUCCAGGUGUAGCGGUGAAAUGCGUAGAUAUCAGGAGGAACACCGGUGGCGAAGGCGGUUCUCUGGGCCUUACCUGACGCUAAAACGCGACAGCAUGGGGAGCGAACGGG